CAUCUAUACUAUACUAAAAGGGGGAUAUAAGCCAUGGAGAGGGUGUCCACAUAGGAUAGAAAAAUCAACCAAUCAGAGAAUCCAAAAUUGCCAUGUCAUCUCAUUUAUUUUUCGUAAAAAAUAAAAAAACAAUGCAAAGGUGAGAAUCGAACCCGGGUUAGUAUGAUAUAUAUAUAGGACAUUUACCACUAAGCCAUUGAAACUUUCUUGGACACAUAUACAAGAACCACUAAGUAUAUAAUCACAAACUCUUAUGUACAUUUACAAUAAUAUGAA
rnacentral:lncRNA from 1 species